rnacentral:rRNA from 1 species
UACGGAGGGUGCAAGCGUUAUCCGGAUUCACUGGGAUUAAAGGGUGCGUAGGCGGAUUGGUAAGUCCGUGGGGAAAUCCCCGAGCUUAACUUGGGAACUGCCGUGGAUACUAUCAGUCUUGAAUAUCGUGGAGGUAAGCGGAAUAUGUCAUGUAGCGGUGAAAUGCUUAGAUAUCUGGAGGAACACCGGUGGCGAAGGCGGCAUCCUGGACCAAUAUUGACGCUGAGGAGCGAAAGCCAGGGGAGCAAACGGG